rnacentral:rRNA from 1 species
UACAGAGGGUGCAAGCGUUAAUCGGAAUUAUUGGGCGUAAAGGGCGCGUAGGCGGCCUGGCAAGUGGAAGGUGAAAGUCCCUCGGCUUAACCGAGGAACUGCCUCCCAAACUGCUUGGCUUGAGACCGGGAGAGGUGAGUGGAAUUCCCAGUGUAGCGGUGAAAUGCGUAGAUAUCGUGAGGAAGACCAGUGGCGAAGGCGGGUCUCUGGACAGUUCCUGACGCUGAGGCGCGAAGGCCAGGGGAGCAAACGGG